rnacentral:snRNA from 1 species
GUCUCCUCCUCGGAGACAUCCGAUAAAAUUGGAAGGAUAUAGAGAACAUUAGCAUGGCUCCUAGGCAAGGAUGACACUAACAAAUCGAGAAUUAGUGAGUUCCUUC